rnacentral:rRNA from 1 species
UACAGAGGUCUCAAGCGUUGUUCGGAUUCAUUGGGCGUAAAGGGUGUGUAGGUGGCGCCGUAAGUCGGGUGUGAAAUUUCGGAGCUUAACUCCGAAACUGCAUUCGAUACUGCGGUGCUUGAGGACUGGAGAGGAGACUGGAAUUCAUGGUGUAGCAGUGAAAUGCGUAGAUAUCAAGAGGAACACCUGAGGUGAAGACGGGUUGCUGGGCCGACACUGACGCUGAGUGCGCGAAAGCCAGGGGAGCAAACGGG